UUUAAUAGUACAACCAAAACUAAGGUACUAUGGAAAGGUAAAGAUUUAGUAGUACAACCAAAACUAAGGUACUAUGGAAAGGUAAAGACUUAGUAGUACAACCAAAACUAAGGUACUAUGGAAAGGUAAAGACUUAGUAGUACAACCAAAACUAAGGUACUAUGGAAAGGUAAAGAUUUAGUAGUACAACCAAAACUAAGGUACUAUGGAAAGGUAAAGACUUAGUAGUACAACCAAAACUAAGGUACUAUGGAAAGGUAAAGACUUAGUAGUACAACCAAAACUAAGGUACUAUGGAAAGGUAAAGAUUUAGUAGUACAACCAAAACUAAGGUACUAUGGAAAGGUAAAGACUUAGUAGUACAACCAAAACUAAGGUACUAUGGAAAGGUAAAGAUUUAGUAGUACAACCAAAACUAAGGUACUAUGGAAAGGUAAAGAUUUAGUAGUACAACCAAAACUAAGGUACUAUGGAAAGGUAAAGAUUUAGUAGUACAACCAAAACUAAGGUACUAUGGAAAGGUAAGUUGUAGUUGUUUCAAUAGGGGCACCUGUUGUUUUGCUCAUAACUAACGGUGAUAAGUCGCAUGAUUUCCUAAACGAGGAAAGCAGGUAAAAUGGAAAAGUGGAGCAAAAAUA